rnacentral:rRNA from 1 species
UCUAGUUGCCAGCAUUCGGUUGGGCGACUCUAGAGGGACUGCCGGCGACAAGUCGGAGGAAGUGGGGAUGACGUCAAAUCAUCAUGCCCCUUAUGACCUGGGCUACACACGUGCUACAAUGGUUGGUACAACGAGUUGCGAGUCGGUGACGGCGAGCUAAUCUCUUAAAGCCAAUCUCAGUUCGGAUUGUAGGCUGCAACUCGCCUACAUGAAGUCGGAAUCGCUAGUAAUCGCGGAUCAGCACGCCGCGGUGAAUACGUUCCCGGGCCUU